rnacentral:rRNA from 1 species
UACAGAGGUCUCAAGCGUUGUUCGGAUUCAUUGGGCGUAAAGGGUGCGUAGGUGGCGGGGUAAGUCUGGUGUGAAAUCCUGGGGCUCAACCCCGGAACUGCACUGGAUACUGCUUUGCUAGAGUACUGGAGAGGGAACUGGAAUUUACGGUGUAGCAGUGAAAUGCGUAGAUAUCGUAAGGAAGACCAGUGGCGAAGGCGAGUUCCUGGACAGUUAC